UUCUCAGUGCCCAGCUUUGUGUCAGGCAUAUGGCAGGUAUUUCAGUAAAGAUCAUUGAACUAAAGAACUAUGUUAUGAGAAAGGAGCCUGGAGGAGAGUGAUAACUGUUGGAGGCAAGUGUUAGUCUACCUGAUAGAAGAGGUUUCGGGAGCAGGCAGAAGGGGAGAGGCCCAGAGCAAAGAGUGUCUUCAGUCACUUAUCAAAGGCUCCGUGUCCUCUCAUAAAAUGUAAGUGCAAAAAACAGCCUGUAAUACUCCUGGAGAUAGAAGACAAACAAAGAUUUCAACAAGUAACUGGAGACUAUAAAAACUGGGACAUUGUUUAUUUGCAAAAGAAUCAACUAGAAAUGCUAGGACCAAAAUAUAAUCAAAGAUGAGCUUCAUUCAAAACACUGAAAGUCUGACUAGAACAGACUGAAAAGUCUGACCUCCCCCAGGAAGAAGGACUAUCUUAGGACUCAAACUAUAACCCUUCUCAGAAGUCUCCAGUUUGCUGGCCUCUGCCAUUAUAUUUGAGACUCAUAAGCCUCCAUAAUCAUACAGCCAAUUCCCUAAAAUAAAUUUGUCUGUCUACACACACACAUGCACACUCCCCACUCUACCUCCCCCACCCAAAAACAUCUUACUCUUUCUGUUUCUCUGGAGAACCCUGAUUAAUACAAGGAUGAACCAUGGAAUGUAACACAUAUGCUUUUGUCCAAUAAAAAGAAUUUCU
ensembl:lincRNA uncharacterized LOC101687514